rnacentral:misc_RNA from 1 species
GAUGAAGAACGUAGCGAAAUGCGAUAAGUAAUGUGAAUUGCAGAAUUCAGUGAAUCAUCGAAUCUUUGAACGCACAUUGCGCCCGCCAGUAUUCUGGCGGGCAUGCCUGUUCGAGCGUCAUUUCAACCAUCAAGCCCUGCUUGCGUUGGGGUCCUGCGGCUGCCCACAGGCCCUGAAAACCAGUGGCGGGCUCGCUAGUCACACCGAGCGCAGUAAUACAUCUCGCUUUGGGCGUGCGGCGGGUUCUUGCCGUUAAACACCCCCUUUUUACCAAGGUUGACCUCGGAUCAGGUAGGAAUACCCGCUGAACUUAAGCAUAUCAAUAAGCGGAGGA